rnacentral:rRNA from 1 species
AUACGGAGGGUGCAAGCGUUAUCCGGAUUUAUUGGGUUUAAAGGGUGCGCAGGCGGACCUGUCAGUCAGUGGUGAAAUCCCGGGGCUCAACCCCGGAACUGCCAUUGAUACUACAGGUCUUGAAUACGGUUGAAGUAGGCGGAAUGUAGCAUGUAGCGGUGAAAUGCAUAGAUAUGCUACAGAACACCGAUCGCGAAGGCAGCUUACUAAGCCGAUAUUGACGCUCAGGCACGAAAGCGUGGGGAGCGAACAGGAUUAGAAACCCCAGUAGUCC